rnacentral:sRNA from 1 species
AAAUUUAUCUUCAGACCAGCGACCGCGCCAGCCGCGAAUCGGAUCUCUAUGGAGAUGGCCUAGGCGAUAUCCCUGAGCUGAGAGCAUCACCCUAUCCCCGAAUCCUUCUUUCCUCUCUGUUUUUUCAUUCCCCUCCCUCUCUCCCCUCCCCCUCCAGUCCACGACGACUGGCUGUUGACCCUGUUCAGGCCUCGGUGAAGGCUUUUGGGUAAUCCCCUUCCCACCCCAUCCCUUAAUUUUAUUCUUUUGAAGAGUGCAUUUCAAGCUGCCAAGGUGGAGAGAGGGAUUACAGAAAGGAGAACACCUUAUUUCAGGUCCUGGUUAAGUCUUCACCUGUUGUGUAAAUAGAAUGCAGAGUAAUCUGUAAAAAUAUACAUUACUUUCAUUGAGUCUUAAUUUGGAGAAUAUAAACAUUUAUAUAAUUUAAGUCCAGAGAAACAGUACCUAACUUUUGAUAUACAAUUUAUUCUUCAUUGUUAACACAUAGCAUUUAGGAUACAGUAGAAUUAUGUAUCUCACAAAACUUGGAACUGUGUGUGU